GGGUUUCCAUGGACACCAGCACCUCCUUUUCCACAAGAGCUCACACAGCAUAUUCUGGAUACAUUCCACCAAGUGUCUCCUCCAUCAUGCAGUCUACAUCAUCAGAGUUGGACAGUGGGAGACUGCAGGGACUGAUCGAGGGCAACAAAAGAUGGCUGGAGACACAACGGAAAGACACUAAUGUACCUCUGUUGACGCGCUACCAGGAUCCCCCAUCUACAAAUGGUUUGGUCCAACUCAGCCUAGAUGAAAAUAAUCAGAUCAACGUGCACCAUUACUGAAAUCGGGGGGAUCCAGGAUUGGUGUGUUUCACUGUUAAUUUUGCACAGGCAGACUUUUAAAAGCAAAACAUGAUGACACUGUUGAGGUGCAUGAAGCACAGAAUAUUGUGUGUGAGAAAGAAAUAGAGACAGAUGAAUAAAGUAAAUGUCUUCCUCAAGUCAGUGUGAGUGGAGACUUCAGGUACUCCCUUUCCCCCCAGUGUGAAUGGUGCUAGUUAUGGGCUGGUGCUAGUGCUGGUUCAAUUUGCGAAUCUUCUAAAAACACAUUUGCUUUUCCAUGGGCUAGAGAGCCAGCAUCGAGCCACGUCAUUAUGUCUCUGUAUCCAUCUCUGCUUUCCCAGGAUGCCUAGCGCCAAGCAUGAGUGUUUCCCUGCACUUUACUUGUGCAGGCUGUCCAGGUAUAA